ensembl:lncRNA
AGACGAAUUAAUUUAGCGCUGGGACUGGAACUAGUGUUCUAGUUUGUGUUUAUCACGGACUCUUUAGGGCGCUGCACACUCGCUCUCUCAGCACAUUCGCGCUCAGAAAGAAGCGCGAAUCGUUAAAGCAGACUAACGUGGAAACAGGUGAAGAGACGAAGACAUCAGCAGGAGGGAGGACGACCCCCCAGUGUGAGGACGACCCCCACCACAUGAAUGGGGGACAGGAGGCGCAGCUUCCAGCCCAGCCGUUUACAAGGUGGAGGUGGAUUCAGGGGUGGAGUCUGUCCUGCUGCCUUGUAAAGCCACACUUCAGCUGCUUAAAGACGUUAGAGUGGAGUGGAAGGACAUGAAAGACAGGAAGGUCCACGUGUAUGAGAACAGCUCUGACAAGAAUAAAGAACAGGAUGAAGUUUACAGAAAUCGAACGAAGAUGAAUGAAGACCCGCUGACAACUGGAGACCUCAGUCUGAGCCUGAAACACCUACACCUGCACCAUUAGCAGGGAGGGAAACAUCCUGCUGAAGAAACAAGUGCUGCUUACUGUCAGAGGGUGUCGGGUGGAGGUGGAGGAGGGGGCGGAGUCUGUCUGGUUGCCCUUUAAAACCACAGCUCAGCUGCCUGAAGACACUCUAGUAGAGUGGUGGCACCGUCCUGAGAAGCCUGACAAACAGGAGCGGGAUUAUAGAGACCGAGUGAAGAUGAAAGACGAGCGUCUGAAAAGCAGACAGUUCAGCCUGACCUUUAAACGCUCCACAGAGAGCCAGAUACAGCUGUGUGGCCUGGAGCCAGGAAACAUCAUCGGAGUCGUGCUGCUCACAAUUACAGGUGUUUGUUCAUUUUCAUUUGGUUCUCUCUGCUUUCACUUAUUAUUUUAUGGUGUUUGUGUGAAGCUGCCUGCAGGGAGAGAUCAGCAC